rnacentral:rRNA from 1 species
GACGAACGCUGGCGGCGUGCUUAACACAUGCAAGUCGAACGGAAAGGCCCUGCUUUUGUGGGGUGCUCGAGUGGCGAACGGGUGAGUAACACGUGAGUAACCUGCCCUUGACUUUGGGAUAACUUCAGGAAACUGGGGCUAAUACCGGAUAGGAGCUCCUGCUGCAUGGUGGGGGUUGGAAAGUUUCGGCGGUUGGGGAUGGACUCGCGGCUUAUCAGCUUGUUGGUGGGGUAGUGGCUUACCAAGGCUUUGACGGGUAGCCGGCCUGAGAGGGUGACCGGCGACAUUGGGACUGAGAUACGGCCCAGACGCCAACGGGAGGCAGCAGUGGAGAAUAUUGCACAAUGGGCGGAAGCCUGAGGCAGCAACGCCGCGUGCGGGAUGACGGCCUUCGGGUUGUAAACCGCUUUCGCCGGUGACGAAGCGUGAGUGACGGUAAUGGGUAAAGAAGCACCGGCUAACUACGUG